rnacentral:tRNA from 1 species
GCGCCCGUAGCUCAAUUGAUAGAGUACUUGACUACGAAUCAAGCGGUUAGAGGUUCGAGUCCUCUCGGGCGCGCCA